UACGUGGGGCGCAAGGCGUUAUCCGGAAUUAUUGGGCGUAAAGAGCUCGUAGGCGGUCUGUCGCGUCGGCUGUGAAAUCCCGGAGCUCAACUCCGGGUCUGCAGUCGAUACGGGCAAACUGGAGUACUGCAGGGGAGACUGGAAUUCCUGGUGUAGCGGUGAAAUGCGCAGAUAUCAGGAGGAACACCGGUGGCGAAGGCGGGUCUCUGGGCAGUAACUGACGCUGAGGAACGAAAGCGUGGGUAGCGAACAGG
rnacentral:rRNA from 1 species